rnacentral:tRNA from 1 species
GGAUGUUUAGCUCAAGUGGUGGAGCACAUGCUUAACAUGCAUGAGGUCCUGGGUUCAGUCCCCAGUACCUCCU